AGCAUCAUCGCUCCACCUGGUCAUGGGGUUUCUCAAAUCCCCGUUAUCCCACUAUCGGUGCCGCAGUUUGCUUUAUCGCAAGACAAGGAAAGCCAGCCCUCAGGCACGCAGUAAAUCCCGUAAAUUGUUCCCAUAUGAAGUCAGCGAGAAGCACAUCCGCCUUGCCAGUGCAGCUCGGAGGCGGCGGGGCCACGCUCACCCGCCAGACAGCAGACGGUGCAGCAACGGCGAGCCACACGCGUACCACCAGCAGCUCUGUCACAACGUUGUCGCGUCGCCAGGUGCUCCGCCUUACCUCUCUACCGCCACACCUCUCCACCCUCCACGCAAGCCAUGAGCCAGAAGGAAGUCAGGAAGAAAAAACACGCCAUCAAGAUGCCAGAAGGGGACUGGGAAAACGGCAAGUCCCAAGUGCUGUGUGAGGGCAGGAAGUCCGGUACCGAGAACUCCUUCGUGUGCCGCUACUGCCAGAGGGUGUUCCGCAAAAGCUACAACCUCCUCAUCCACGAACGCUCGCACGAAGACCACGCCAAGUGCCACUAUGACGUUUUCAGGGUCCGCUCCAGCUUGCAGUAGUCUCUCCUUGCAGGUGUAUGGAAUGUCAUGAAGCACUAAUAACUAGAUGAAGGAACUAAAGAACUACAACUACGCUACACUAGCUUACAAACUCUGGUAAUGUGGAUCUCUGUCAUCGCCGAGUUCCACUGAUCUCCUUGUGGCUCCUCCACCCACGCCCUCGAGCCUUCUCCCAGCUCCAGAACAACACAUUUUGGCAGAAGUUAUCUUUAUCUUUGAAAAAAAAAUAUUGUAAAAUGAGUUGUGAGCUAAGUGUUCUCCUCUCUACUACUGUUUCCAGAAGAGACUCAUUGCUGCUUCUCGAAGUGAGUCUCUCUCCUUCGCGGCGAAAUCUUGAAGACGCUUCUUAAGUCUUCUCUAGGCUGUGCUGAUGCUUUCAGUCUUAUCUUUCACUUCUCAUUUGUCAAGAAGAAAUUUCAUUUAUUCUCGCGUUUGUGUCGUAAUACUUUUUUAAAAUCCUUUAUGUGAAAAUCUCUGAAUAAGAUAGUCAUCAUUAUUUUAUUAGAGUCGUUAUUUGUCAAAUAUGGCCCUGAUGUUCAUACAGUUCGUUCUGCCGCUAAAUGAAUUCUUUUCUACUUAGAUUUAUUUUUACUUAAGUUUCGUCAGGCAGAAAUUUCAACAGACUUUAUACCCCUUGCCCCUGCCGGCCCCUACACCCUUAUCCUAUAUUACUCGCUACCGCGUACAUCCAACCCCCUCCCCCUCCUCUCCUACCCUGACCCCCCCCUUCUCUUUCUCGUCCCCCACAUGGCAAUCCUUCCCAAAUUAUUCAACAUGUCCAGAAUUCCGCAGCCGUUAAGUAUGUCUCUCCAUAAUUGGUGAAGGCCUUACCUUACCAAUACGCAGCACUCAUUAUAAUAACCAGAAAAAUGUAAUACGCCGUAUCAGAUAUUGGCCUCCCUUACACCCUCGCUGCCAGCUCUUCCCACUCCGCCUGCAGCCAACAUAGCUACGGCACAGCGGCCACAUAAGUAUGUGAUGUGUAAAUAUGCCGACAUAAACUGACUGGCAGAAUACUUUAACUCAUUAGUCAUCGGAUGUCAUGUCAUUGAUUGUAAAUUUUUCUAUUUCGACAAAGUUGGCCCUCGUAAACGAGGUUUAAACUUUUCCUUGAUAUCUCGCAUUUUUUGAAAUGUGAUAAAUCAUAACUUAUCAUGAUAAAAUGUUAGAUGUUAAUGAUCUACCCAGAGGUUACCAAGAAGAAAAGAGUAAGGGGUAAUGUAAUAGUCAACAUCUUUCGUAUCAUUCAAAUGUUUGUUUUUUAAAGAAUUUUCUGCACAAAAAAAAAAAUGCAUGUGUCACAAACUACUACAUUACCCCAUCUCUGGUGUAUACCCUGCGUGUACGAUCAUAGCCUUCGCGUAGCUAAACCAUUAGCCUGUCCUUGUCCAAUCAGAUGAGCGAUGUUUUCUGUCUUCGGUCUACAAAGAUGUGACGACGGCUCAGCACUCAAGAAUAUGUACUUAGAUCCCGACUAAAUUUACCUUCGAUCUCCAAAAACAAUGUUCUACGCGGACGCUAUAUAAUUCCCCAAGUGCCAAUCCAGUGGUUGUAACAGCUUGCAUUAUAUUAUAUAAGAAUAUAUUGUUUAUAGAAUAAGCCGAAAUUCGGGCAAAAAAAUAUAUAUAGGCCUAAAUUUUUUUUUGCCAUUUUAAUAUUACUCCAAAAUGAAGGAAAUAAAAGUUAAAAAAAAAAAAAAAAUCUGUAUUAACUUUCACCAGAUUUGCCCGAAUUUCUUCUAUUGGACAAUCCCAGUAAAAGCUUUAUGAUGAUCUAUAAUAUGAAAUUAUAUAGUGUAGUUAGACAUAUAGAAUAAGCGUGGACGUGAAUGUGAUAGCUUAGGUCUCAUGUGAAUUCUUAUUUUGUGCCAUUUGGAUUGCCACAAAACAAAGAUGUAUUUGCUAGUAUAUGAGUAAAUUGCUUCGCUUAAAA
rnacentral:misc_RNA from 1 species